GCAACCCCUUCUUUGGCUGGCUAGGGUUUCACGAGCCUCGGGAAAGAAGAUGCAGCUAAAAUUAACCGCUAUCAAGCUGUCAGCCCUGGAAAUAAACCUGCCUCCCAUUGGCUGCCGGUGACGUCACUGCUGGGUUAAUAAUAGCCGCCGAGUGCCUAACGAACCACCUGUGCAUGGGGCACAGCCAGGCCAUCACCCCGGGGCCACCGUCGCAGGUUGGUUCACUGCUGGGCCCUGUGGACUUGUUCUCAUGCUUUGUCAGUGUCGAUGUCGAAAGCCCAAAGUGUUUCCCAAGUCCUGCUACCUUGGUGGUGACACCAUCUAAGAGGCACUGGCCAGAGAGCUGGGCAGCAGCUGCCACCUGGGAUGAAGAUGGGCAGAGCUGGGCCACCAGGGCCGUGGUGUGAACACACCACUCUCCCUCCAGGGGCCGACCAACGAGCUCCGGGGGUCCAACCCUGGCUCCGGCUUUGGCAGAACUCUCACCUCGCCCCCAGACACCUGUGGGAGGAGCACAGUGCAGGUGGCGACAGCUCCCAGGGGCCGAGCAAGGCUGUGAGCCUCCGCACUAGGGGCCUCUCCCAUCUAGUCCUCCCCACACGCUGGGGUUAACGCAUUCUUAACAUAUGUAUGUUAACCCAACCAUAACAAGGUGCCACCAUCGUCCCGUCCACAAGGGAGGAGACAGUGGCUACAGGGUGGCAGGCAGCCCUUACAAGUGGGACUGGAAGCCUUUCCCUCCCGCCCUGUGGGAAGCCUGUGGCCGUCCCCGCCCUCGUCCAGCUGUGCCCUGUCCUCUCCAGCUGACCGUCCCCGUCAAUCUCAUCCCUGCCAAUGAUCACAUCCUAGCAGCAACCGGGCCUGAACCGGCCUGCUAUAGCUUGCGCACAAUGCAUCUUCCGUCCGCUUAGCUUUUCUGCCCCCAUUUCCUACAGCCGGGGAGGCUCGGGUGCAGUGUCUCUCCUCGCUCCUGCUUCCUGACCCAGAGCCCAGACCUGGGACUUCCCAAAAGCCCCCAGACACACCAAGGGCACCGCCGAACCCCUCAGAGCCAAGGGAGAGGAGAGCUAGCGUUCCCUGAGCUCACCUUGCCUGGUGGCACGGGUCCCCUCUGUCUGCGGCCACUGUCAUGGGAGAAGCCAGGCUCAGCCACUGGCAAGAGCAGGCAGCCAGCAAGAGGUGGAUGUGGGUCCAAGCCCAGGCCACACGGCUCCCAGCAAGAGCCAUGGCCAGGGGCCAGUCGGCAGCCCCUCUGCCCGACAAGGAUGUGGGCCAGCGUCGUCUGCACUUCAGAGGAGACGAGAACCAGGAGGCGGCCCCCGAGGGCAUCCCGCGGGUCCUCACGGAGGCUGCGUUCUCCCACCUUGGCCAGGAUGCCCCGGGAACACCAUGCAGCGUCUCUGAGGCUUCCUGUGCAGAGGGGCUCACAGAGCCCC
rnacentral:lncRNA from 1 species